UCGAGGAUCUUCGGCAAUGGGCGCAAGCCUGACCGAGCGACGCCGCGUGUGCGAUGAAGGCCUUCGGGUUGUAAAGCACUGUCGAGGGGGAGGAAAGCCGUAAGGUCUGACCUAUCCCUGGAGGAAGGACGGGCUAAGUUCGUGCCAGCAGCCGCGGUAAGACGAACCGUCCUAACGUUAUUCGGAAUCACUGGGCUUAAAGGGCGCGUAGGCGGAUGAGCAAGUCCGGAGUGAAAUCUUUCGGCUUAACCGGAAAAGUGCUUUGGAUACUGCUCGUCUUGAGGGAGGUAGGGGCAUGUGGAACUUCUGGUGGAGCGGUGAAAUGCGUUGAUAUCAGAAGGAACGCCGGUGGCGAAAGCGACGUGCUGGCCCUCUUCUGACGCUGAGGCGCGAAAGCUAGGGGAGCAAACGG
rnacentral:rRNA from 1 species